rnacentral:rRNA from 1 species
GUGGGGAAUAUUGGACAAUGGGGGGAACCCUGAUCCAGCCAUGCCGCGUGUGUGAAGAAGGCCUUUUGGUUGUAAAGCACUUUAAGCGAGGAGGAGGCUACCGAGAUUAAUACUCUUGGAUAGUGGACGUUACUCGCAGAAUAAGCACCGGCUAACUCUGUGCCAGCAGCCGCGGUAAUACAGAGGGUGCAAGCGUUAAUCGGAUUUACUGGGCGUAAAGCGCGCGUAGGUGGCCAAUUAAGUCAAAUGUGAAAUCCCCGAGCUUAACUUGGGAAUUGCAUUCGAUACUGGUUGGCUAGAGUAUGGGAGAGGAUGGUAGAAUUCCAGGUGUAGCGGUGAAAUGCGUAGAGAACUGGAGGAAUACCGAUGGCGAAGGCAGCCAUCUGGCCUAAUACUGACACUGAGGUGCGAAAGCAUGGGGAGCAAACAGGAUUAGAUACCCGAGUAGUCC